GUAGGUGAACCUGCGGAAGGAUCAUUACUGAGUGAUUCGGCGAGCGGCCUUCCCAUGCGUGCGUGGGGAGGUUGAUCUUGAGCCGGUUACCCGACCUUUUGUCAUCUGUUCUGGGCGUUCCGCGAGAUAAGUCUCUUGCCACGUGGGGAUCGACGUGCCGUGGUUCUGGCGACUGGCCCGAGAGGGUGGGAGCUAGGGCGACGGACCGAGCCGCGAGCGGGGAUGUGGGACGUCGCAGCAUCAUAACUUC
rnacentral:misc_RNA from 1 species